rnacentral:sRNA from 1 species
AGUGUUUAUGAUCCCUUGACUGGCUCCUGAGUUAUUGCCCAUAUGUGAUCCCAGGUCCAUGUUCUUGAGUCUGAGGCCCUUGUAUAGUCCCUGUCCUUGUGAUUAUAUCCUUACGCCUGGUAACAAACCCCUAUCCCAUGUACAUGUCCUGAGUCCAUACCCCAAAACUGUAUCCUCAUGCCCAUGCUGGAGAAUCUAUGUUCUUAAGCUCUUGCUGUGUCCCUAUAGAGGAGGGGGCUGAUCCUGAUAGCAUUGAAAUGGUGGCCACACGGGUGCUAGAGCUCUCCAUCCCAGCUUCAGCUGAGCAGAUCCAGCACCUGGCAAGUGCAAUUGCAGAGCGAGUCCGGAGCCUGGCGGAUGUGGACGCGAUCCUGGCACGUACUGUAGGAGAUGUGCGUCGUGCCGAGCAGCUACUGCAGGAUGCACGGCGGGCAAGGUCUGACCCCAUCCCUGGCCCCUAUCCCUGACACCUGGUUUUGAUACCUCCAGGUUCUGAUUUCCCCUUCUCCCCAGGAGCCGGGCUGAGGAUGAGAAACAGAAGGCAGAGACAGUACAGGAAGCACUGGAGGAGGCCCAGCGGGCACAGGGUGUUGCCCAGGGUGCCAUCCGGGGGGCAGUGGCUGACACACAGGACACAGAGCAGACCCUGUACCAGGUACAGGAGAGGAUGGCAGGUGCAGAGCAGGCACUGAGCUCUGCAGGUGAAAGGGCUCGGCAGUUGGAUGCUCUCCUGGAGGCUCUGAAAUUGAAACGGGCGGGAAAUAGUCUGGCAGCCUCUACAGCAGAAGAAACAGCAGGCAGUGCCCAGGGUCGUGCCCAGGAGGCUGAGCAGCUGCUACGGGGCCCUCUGGGUGAUCAGUACCAGACGGUGAAGGCCCUGGCUGAGCGCAAGGCCCAGGGUGUGCUGGCUGCACAGGCAAGGGCAGAACAACUGCGGGAUGAGGCUCGGGACCUGUUGCAAGCCGCUCAGGACAAGCUGCAGCGGCUACAGGGUAAGAAAUGGGGCACCAGAGACACAGGACUGCGGGAAACCCCCCCUAAACUGACACCUGCCCUUCCUAGAAUUGGAAGGCACCUAUGAGGAAAAUGAGCGGGCACUGGAGAGUAAGGCAGCCCAGCUGGACGGGUUGGAGGCCAGGAUGCGCAGCGUGCUUCAAGCCAUCAACUU